GACGAACGCUGGCGGCGUGCUUAACACAUGCAAGUCGAGCGGAAAGGCCACUUCGGUGGUACUCGAGCGGCUAACGGGUGAGUAACACGUGAGUAAUCUGCCCCUCACUUUGGGAUAGCCACCGGAAACGGUGAUUAAUACCGGAUAUGACCAUAUGUCGCAUGGCGUGUGGUGGUAAGUUUUUCGGUGAGGGAUGUGCUCGCGGCCUAUCAUCUUGAUGGUGUGGUAAUGGCUCACCAUGGCUUCGACGGGUAGCCGGCCUGAGAGGGUGACCGGUCACACUGGGACUGAGACACGGACCAGACUCCUACGGGAGGCAGCAGUGGGGAAUAUUGCACAAUGGGCGGAAGCCUGAUCCAGCAACGCCGCGUGCGGGAUGACGGCCUUCGGGUUGUAAACCUCUUUCAGUACCGACGAAGCGAAAGUGACGGUAGGUACAGAAGAAGCACCGGCUAACUACGUG
rnacentral:rRNA from 1 species